rnacentral:rRNA from 1 species
GAUCCUGGCUCAGGACGAACGCUGGCGGCGCGCCUAACACAUGCAAGUCGAACGAGAGAGAAGGAGCUUGCUUCUUCGAUCGAGUGGCGAACGGGUGAGUAACGCGUGAGGAACCUGCCUCAAAGAGGGGGACAACAGUUGGAAACGACUGCUAAUACCGCAUAAGCCCACGGGUCGGCAUCGAUCUGAGGGAAAAGGAGCGAUCCGCUUUGAGAUGGCCUCGCGUCCGAUUAGCUAGUUGGUG